CCUAAACAACCAAUCGAAAAUUAAACCCUAGUUUGUUCCUCUCCUCUCUUUGCAACUGAAUUUUAUUAUAAUAUAAUUUUCGAAAUCGAAAAACACCUGUAAUUAAUCACUCCAAACCUUGAUUUUCCGGUCACAGAUCUACCAUCAGAACCUGAUUCAGGCAACCGUGCACCAGGCGGAACAGGUUUUGCUGCCAUAUCGAGAAUGUUAUCGACCAUGGAUCAAUCAGAGGCGCCAAAGAAACAAUUUUACAGGGAUAUGAAGACCAUAAAUGAUGUCACGAGCUCACUGAAUGCCAUACAUUUGGUCAACAAAACUGAAUGGACCGAACAAGAUAUGGAAAUUGAUGAAAUGGACAUAAAAAUGUAUGAGGGAGAGCGGAAAAUGUAUGAAAUAUAUGUGGAUUAUUGUUCAGAGGAUGCUGAUAAAUGGAUGGAAGUUUACUUGAGCAUUAUGAGUGGUGUUGUUGGUGGCCAUCAGAAUGCAAUUGCAGUGAUGGAAAAUAGCGUGCGUAGUAUGAAUUGUUUUUUUGUAAAUCUUACACGGGCCGAGUUGGAUAAACUUGUGGAAAUAGACCAUGAUCGGGUUCGGGGAAUCUAUCCUCCUUAUAAACCUCUUUGAUUGAAUUUCGGUGCUGGAAAGUUGUUUGAGAGGGCAGUGAAAGAAACCACACACCCGCAGCAUUUGCCUGUUUCAAGCAUAUUAAAACAGGUCUGAUUCCAGCCCGUAUUUAUCACGUUAUCCGUGGGGUCCACAUGACUACCAUGUCAGGGUGAUAAUUUAUUUGUUUUUCUAUUGGCUUAUAGAGGUGGUAAAAUGGGCGUGUCGGAUAGGGUAACCGGUGUGGUCAACCCCCACACACCCUUUUUUGUCAUUUUUUUGCAUUUUCUUUGUAAAUAGUUAAUUAUGUUGAUAUUAAAAAACAUUAUUAUUUCAAAAGUAAUUUCUUUUUUGAUUUA